rnacentral:lncRNA from 10 species
UGAGACUGUGAACUAUUUGAAGAAGAUUGUUGAAGAGGGGCUUCUUUUUAUGUGCCCAUUCCCUCAGCAACCACAUGUGUGGCUCUGCCUGCAGGCUCCCUUCACCACAUAUUGGAAUGUAACUAUACCUCCCUUAUGAAGAGUCUGUGAUGUAUGCAUAGUGGACAGGAGCAGGAAUCCAAGCCCAGAGGUUCAGAACAGGUCAGCAUGGAGACAAGGGGGAACAGAACAUCAGGAUGUUGGAAGGAGCCUGACAAGGCUGAACAACGCCUGGAGAUUUAGCUGUGGUCACAGGUGCACGGUGCAGCGUGAUGCAUACAGGGACACCCCCCCGUGGUGCAGCAGAACCAAGUUUUCCUCCCUCUGUUCUGACCGAAGCAGCUGCUGGCAGUUGGCAAGAAAUGGAACUGUUUCUCUUUUUCCUGCUUCCUCACAUUUUCCUAUGAGGCACAAACUCACAAGAGACAUGUCUGAAAGUGGAGCAGACAGGAAAAGCACCCAUUUUGGUUUGUUUCUAAACGUCUAUUUCUAGAAUUUUCCAAGGUCAGUCCUUCUGGUGUGUCACAGACAGGGGAUUCGAUCUCAAUCUACUUUGAAGAGUUUCCCCCUGUCGCCUAGGCUGGAGUGCAGUGGUGCAAUCUCAGUGGCUCACUAAAACAUCCACCUCCCGGGUUCAAGUGAUUCUUCUGCCUCAGCCUCUCAAGUAGCUGGGAUUACAGGCGUGGGCCAUCACACACAGCUAAUUUUUGUAUUUUUAGUAGAGAUGAGGUUUCACCAUGUUCGCCAGGCUGGUCUCGAACUCCCGGCCUCAAGCAAUCUGCCCACCUCGGCCUCCCAAAGUGCUGGGAUUACAGGCGUGAGUCACCGCGCCCGGCCCAGACUCUAUGACUUUAGACAUAAAGCAUUCACCCAGUCCUGCCACUCACCUUGGAGAGUAAAGCUGCAUUAGCAGUGGAUCCAGCUCUCAAGAGGAGCUCACUGUCUACAGAACAAUGAAAAGCAGAGGGGGCAGUAACUGGAGUCUUGUCCUGAGUGGCUGACAGAAUCACUUCACUGCCUGAUAUUUAGAGUAUCUUUGUCUUCCCACACCAUGAUAUAUUGCAAAGAUUUUGGGAAAUCUUCUUGUGCUCUUUGGAUGAAAGGUGUGUUAUAUUAGGUCCAUAAAAAGGUUUUGGAUAAAUUAUAGAAAAAAAUUGAUAAUGAUGAUAAUAAUGCCAUCUAGCAUUCAUUGAGUGCUUAUUAUAUGUCUGGCACUAAACUAAUGAUGAAAAUACAUCUCUAAUCUGUAACUAUCUUAUAUCUGGUAGUCCCAAAAUUGUCAAAAUAUUCAUUUCUAAAUGGGGCCUGUUUAUAAUCUGCAAUUGUUAAUUUGGGUGAUGGGUUCAUGGUGAUUAAUUAUACCAUUUUCCCUACUUUGGUGCUUUGAAAUUUUCCCUAAUAAGAGGCUAGGCAAAAAAGGAAGAGGCUAAGCUUCAUAAACCAUAUUCCAGGAUGUACUGUGUACGAAACCCUUCACAAUAGCUGUCUGUGAAUUAAGAGCAAGCCCAUUUUACAAAUAAGGCAGCUGAGGUUCAGGUUAAAUUACUUGUUGAAAGAGUUGAACCCUGGCCAAAAUUUAUAUUCUUCCCCAUAUACCCUGCUCCUGUUCUACUGGGCCAUAUGGUUUCAAAGAACAGACCUCUGUGUUUUAUCUUGGCAGCACUGCAGUACCCAGAUUUCUGUCCUUGAGUGGGUGGAUCUACUUAUAGCUCAAAAUAAAGGUUUUUUUUUUUUUUUUAAUGUAAUGUAUAUGCCUUAUGAAAACUGUCAAGGCAAUUAUGGU